ACCUUUUAGGAGCCAGCCGCCGAAGGUGGGACAGAUGAUUGGGGUGAAGUCGUAACAAGGUAGCCGUAUCGGAAGGUGCGGCUGGAUCACCUCCUUUCUAAGGA
rnacentral:rRNA from 1 species